UACGUAGGGGCCUAGCGUUGUCCGGAAUCAUUGGGCGUAAAGAGCGCGUAGGCGGUCCGGUAAGUCCGCUCUGAAAGUCCGGGGCUCAACCCCGGGGGGCGGGCGGAUACUGUCGGGCUAGAGUCCGGAAGAGGCGAGUGGAAUUCCUGGUGUAGCGGUGAAAUGCGUAGAUAUCAAGAGGAACACCUGAGGUGAAGACGGGUUGCUGGGCCAACACUGACGCUGAGGCGCGAAAGCCAGGGGAGCAAACGGG
rnacentral:rRNA from 1 species